UGGGAAGUCUUGCACAAUGGGCGACCUACGAUGCAGCGACGCCGCGUGAGCGAUGAAGCCUUCGGGUGUGAAGCAUCUUUCGGCAGGGAAGAUGAUGACGGUACCUGCAGAAGCAGCUGCGGCUAACUACGUGCCAGCAGCCGCGGUAAUACGUAGGCAGCAAGCGUUGUUCGGAGUUACUGGGCGUAAAGGGUGUGUAGGCGGCCUUCUAAGUUUGGUGUGAAAUCUCCCGGCUCAACCGGGAGGGUGCGCCGAAGACU
rnacentral:rRNA from 1 species